rnacentral:tRNA from 1 species
GACCCCAUCGUCUAGCCAGGUCUAGGACACAGGGUUUUCAUCCCUGCAACACGGGUUCAAAUCCCGUUGGGGUCGCCA